rnacentral:rRNA from 1 species
GAAUUCGCCCUUAGAGUUUGAUCCUGGCUCAGGACGAACGCUGGCGGCGCGCCUAACACAUGCAAGUCGAACGGAGUUAUUUCAGCAGAAGCUUUCGGGUGGACGCAGGGAUAACUUAGUGGCGAACGGGUGAGUAACACGUGAGGAACCUGCCCUGGAGUGGGGGACAACAGUUGGAAACGACUGCUAAUACCGCAUAAGCCCACAGCACCGCAUGGUGCAGAGGGAAAAGGAGCAAUUCGCUUCAGGAUGGCCUCGCGUCCAAUUAGGUAGAUGGUGAGGUAACGGCCCACCAUGCCGACGAUUGGUAGCCGGACUGAGAGGUUGAACGGCCACAUUGGGACUGAGACACGGCCCAGACUCCUACGGGAGGCAGCAGUGGGGAAUAUUGCACAAUGGGGGAAACCCUGAUGCAGCGACGCCGCGUGGAGGAAGAAGGUUUUCGGAUUGUAAACUCCUGUCUUCGGGGACGAUAAUGACGGUACCCGAGGAGGAAGCCACGGCUAACUACGUGCCAGCAGCCGCGGUAAAACGUAGGUGGCAAGCGUUGUCCGGAAUUACUGGGUGUAAAGGGAGCGCAGGCGGGUCGGCAAGUUGGAGGUGAAAGCUGUGGGCUCAACUCACAAACUGCCUUCAAAACUGCCGAUCUUGAGUGGUGUAGAGGUAGGCGGAAUUCCCGGUGUAGCGGUGGAAUGCGUAGAUAUCGGGAGGAACACCAGUGGCGAAGGCGGCCUACUGGGCACUAACUGACGCUGAGGCUCGAAAGCAUGGGUAGCAAACAGGAUUAGAUACCCUGGUAGUCCAUGCCGUAAACGAUGAUUAAUAGGUGUGGGAGGAUUGACCCCUUACCGAGCCGCAGUUAACUCAAUAAGAUAAUCCACCCUAGGGAGUAUAAACCACAAGGUUGAAAUACAAAGAAAAUUGACGGGGGCCCGAACCAGCAGUGGAGAUAGUGGUUAUAUUAGAAGCAACGAGAAAAACCUAACCAGGUCUUGACAUCCAACGCAUAGCUCAGAAAUGAGGGAAGUCUUUCAGCACGUCGAGACAGGUGGUGCAUAGUUGUCGUCAGCUCGUGUCGUGAGAUAUUGGGUUAAGUCCCGCAGAAAGCGCAACCCUUAUCGUCAGUAAUUACGCAAGAGGAAUCUGGCGAGAACUGCCGUUGACAAAGCGGGGGAAGGAGGGGAUGACGUCAAAUCAUCAUACCCUUUAUGAACUGGGCUACACACGUACUACAAUGGCGCUCAACAAAGAGAAGCGAAACCGCGAGGUGGAGCAAACCUCAUAAACAGCGUCUCAGUUCAGAUUGCAGGCUGCAACUCGCCUGCAUGAAGUCGGAAUUGCUAGUAAUCGCGGAUCAGCAUGCCGCGGUG